rnacentral:lncRNA from 1 species
AAAACUCAAAAACUUAACAUUGACCACUGAACCAUGAAAAUGAGGUCAAGGUCACAUGACAUCUGCCCGCUAGACAUGUACACCUUACAAUCAUUCCAUACAACAAAUAUAGUAGACCUAUUGCAUAUAGUAUGAGAAAAACAGACCAAAACACAAAAAAUUAACUAUAACCACUGAACCAUGAAAAUGAGGUCAAGGUCAGAUGACACCUGCCAGUUGGACAUGUACACCUUACAGUCCUUCCAUACACCGAAUAUACUAGCCCUAUUGCUUAUAGUAUCUGAGAUAUGGACUUGACCACCAAAACUUAACCUUGUU